rnacentral:rRNA from 1 species
UACGUAGGGUGCAAGCGUUUAAUCGGAAUUACUGGGCGUAAAGCGUGCGCAGGCGGUCUUGUAAGACAAAGGUGAAAUCCCCGGGCUUAACCUGGGAACUGCCUUUGUGACUGCAAGGCUUGAGUGCGGCAGAGGGGGAUGGAAUUCCGCGUGUAGCAGUGAAAUUCGUAGAUAUUAGGAAGAACACCGGUGGCGAAGGCGGACAUCUGGGACUCUACUGACGCUGAGGCGCGAAAGCGUGGGGAUCAAACAGG